rnacentral:rRNA from 1 species
AUUGAACGCUGGCGGCAUGCCUUACACAUGCAAGUCGAACGGUAACAGGUCUUCGGAUGCUGACGAGUGGCGAACGGGUGAGUAAUACAUCGGAACGUGCCUAGUAGUGGGGGAUAACUACUCGAAAGAGUGGCUAAUACCGCAUGAGAUCUACGGAUGAAAGCAGGGGAUCGCAAGACCUUGUGCUACUAGAGCGGCCGAUGGCAGAUUAGGUAGUUGGUGGGAUAAAAGCUUACCAAGCCGACGAUCUGUAGCUGGUCUGAGAGGACGAUCAGCCACACUGGGACUGGGACACGGCCCAGACUCCUACGGGAGGCAGCAGUGGGGAAUUUUGGACAAUGGGCGAAAGCCUGAUCCAGCAAUGCCGCGUGCAGGACGAAGGCCUUCGGGUUGUAAACUGCUUUUGUACGGAACGAAAAGCCCCGGGUUAAUACCCUGGGGUCAUGACGGUACCGUAAGAAUAAGCACCGGCUAACUACGUGCCAGCCGCCGCAGUAA